rnacentral:rRNA from 1 species
UACGGAGGGUGCGAGCGUUGUCCGGAAUCACUGGGCGUAAAGGGCGCGUAGGUGGCUCGUGAAGCGUGCGGUGAAAGUCCGAGGCUCAACCUCGGAUCGGCCGUGCGGACUCGCGGGCUCGAGCGUUGUAGAGGCGGGUGGAAUUCCACGUGUAGCAGUGAAAUGCGUAGAGAUGUGGAGGAACACCGAUGGCGAAGGCAGCCCCCUGGGCUAACACUGACGCUCAUGCACGAAAGCGUGGGGAGCAAACAGG